rnacentral:rRNA from 1 species
UACGAAGGGGGCUAGCGUUGCUCGGAAUCACUGGGCGUAAAGCGCACGUAGGCGGAUCUUUAAGUCAGGGGUGAAAUCCUGGAGCUCAACUCCAGAACUGCCUUUGAUACUGGGGAUCUCGAGUCCGGGAGAGGUGAGUGGAACUCCGAGUGUAGAGGUGAAAUUCGUAGAUAUUCGGAAGAACACCAGUGGCGAAGGCGGCUCACUGGCCCGGUACUGACGCUGAUAUACGAAAGCGUGGGGAGCAACAGGG